rnacentral:rRNA from 1 species
CCUACGGGAGGCAGCAGUGAGGAAUAUUGGUCAAUGGACGAGAGUCUGAACCAGCCAAGUAGCGUGAAGGAUGACUGCCCUAUGGGUUGUAAACUUCUUUUAUAUGGGAAUAAAAUGUUCCACGUGUGGGAUUUUGUAUGUACCAUAUGAAUAAGGAUCGGCUAACUCCGUGCCAGCAGCCGCGGUAAUACGGAGGAUCCGAGCGUUAUCCGGAUUUAUUGGGUUUAAAGGGAGCGUAGGUGGAUUGUUAAGUGAGUUGUGAAAGUUUGCGGCUCAACCAUGAAAUUGCAGUUGAAACUGGCAGUCUUGAGUACAGUAGAGGUGGGCGGAAUUCGUGGUGUAGCGGUGAAAUGCUUAGAUAGCACGAAGAACUCCGAUUGCGAAGGCAGUUCACUGGACUGCAACUGACACUGAGGCUCGAAAGUGUGGGUAUCAAACAGGAUUAGAUACCCUUGUAGUC